rnacentral:tRNA from 4 species
UACGGACUUGAAAAUCCGUUGGCUUUAUUGACCGUGAGGGUUCAAGUCCCUCUACCCCCA